AUUUUUUUGGAGUUGGUAACCCUGAAUGUUGGUGAAGACUUGAAUGUAAAUAGAAUUAAAAUAUUAAAAUCUUGACGAUCGUGAUGAUAAUUAAUUAUUGAAUACGAUACGAAUAGCAACUAGCACACGCAUAAUAUACUGUAAAACAAAUAAGUCGAAAAAAUAAAAUGCAGAGGGUAUUAUCUAUAUUGAAAACUGUUUCCACGGUGAAUUUUGCGACGAGAACAUUUAGUGUUCUACCUUCACUAGGAAAUGCAUUAGAAUCUGUGAAGAAGGAAGGGAUAUUGAAAUCACAUAUACCUAUUUUUAAUUGUAUUCGUUCUUUUAAAAUUAAAGGACGUGUAAGGAGACGCUGUCAACUCAUGCUACAUUGUUGUAAGAGAUGAACGAAUGUAUGUAAUGUGCCCAAAGUUUCCCCGACACAAGCAAAUGUCAAUGAAACCAAAACCCCACAACACUUGGAUAUUGACUCACGCGAGCCAGAGCCGAAUUAGGCCAUGGUAAUCUGUAAAUAAGCUGUAGUUAUGUAGUUAUUAUUAAAUAAAUGUUAUGGCAUAUUGUCUU